GCUGUGCCCACACUGCUGCCCUGCUGCAGCUGCUGCUUUGGAACCCUUUUUUCCCCAUCCUCGUGGUUUUGGGCUGAGGGAAAAGCCCAAAUUUUCUUCAAUUUUCUUAGGACUUUUCCCAGGAAAAGGCACUGAUAGACUUGGGCACCUUGUCCUGGUGCUUCCUGCUCACCCAGAUCACCUGGGACAAUUCCAGCAGUGAAUUCCCGCAGCUGCCCUGGAGCUCAAAGCUCAGGUGUGUACAGCUGAGAGGAUGAUGAAGCCCUGCACAAACUGCUGGAGUGGCUCAGGAGAGGAUUCCCCCAGGACUGGCCCUGCCUAAUUAAUCUGGCUCUCAGGCCAGGGCAUGGCUGUUGAUCAUCAGCACCGUCUGCACAGAAGGAAGAGGGAGAGGAGCUCGUCACACACCAGCCCUG